AAAGACACACCGAAAAACAUCUAGGGUUUUGCCUCGUCUCACUACUUGCGUCGCCAUCGUAGUCUACCUCAUUUCGAACGCCGGCAUGCAUCGGCGUGCGAGAGAGCAGGUCUCCGGAACCGUUCGUCUUUGCGAUCCUGCAUCGGGAGAGGACGAAUUAGGUUUUUGGAAAGCGCUUUGUGCGACUGCUCAAAUUCGUCACCACGGGUCGUCUACCAUCCAAGUCGGGCGGUGCUACUCAUCGUCGUCUACAUCGCCAUCAACAAAGGAUCGUCACCAACAUCAUCGUCAACAUAGUCGUUCCUGCUGCAACUAACAAACAGUAUGUUGCUCGUAAUCUGUUUAUGUUGAUCAUUGUAGUUGCUGCUUCUUGCGCGGUGAUGUUAUGCAUAUUCAGUUGCUCUGCCGGAUUGCUAGAGUAUUGCAUGUUAUUUUCUGUUUUAGUCAUGAAUUAUCUAGUGUAAUUAAUCAUGAACUUGCCUAAUCUUCUAACAGCACGUGGGAGCACUUAUGACCUGACGGACUGUCGUGCGCGCAAAGCAACACUACUACACGACUAUGAAUCUCGACACGAGCAGGAGCUGGCUGCGAAGCUGGACACGAGCAGGGCUUGUACCCAGCACUGAACAAGCUGGAUUUGCUGGCUCGCUCGCUGCGCCAUUGGCAGGCAGGGGCACGUGCCGCCAAUCCGUGGAUCGAAAAUCUCGGUCGAUUCAGGUAGGUAGGCGCCGGGGUGAAUUUUCGCACCUAUGCGCCCGCGCGCGUCACCGAUGACAUUGGCGCUGACGGCGGCGGUACCGCCACCACGAGUGGCCGAGCUGCUGAGGGACGAAGAACUGGUCUGGGUCUUCUCGGGUGCAUACAGUCUUUUCGUGCUCGUGGUUUCAUGUGGCAGGCACAUGCAUGCGCCCGACCUGGUCUGGUGUGGAGGACCGGAGAAGAACCGAGCAUGGCGAGGGGAGGGGAACGGAACCGGAGAGCCGAGCUGAGUCGCGUCAGCGACUGCGUUUCUUCUUCAUUUUUUCGUUUCAAUCAGAGAGUUUUAUUCAACAACAAAAACUCAUGGCAUCAUCAUCCAAUAAGCUGGUGAGCAGGAAAGAGGGUCUCGAAUCAGUCGAACGUUCGGUGACCAUCACUAUACAAGCAAAUUUUGCAUAAAAUGGGUCGGUACAUUGGCUGACCGAAUUACAUGUUGAAUAUCAAAAGAAAAAAAAGAGGAAACUAG
rnacentral:lncRNA from 1 species